rnacentral:pre_miRNA from 1 species
UCUAGAACUCGAGAUAUAGGCUGAACACUAAACAAUGUUUAGGCUGCAGGACAGAUUCCGACUUCUCUGUUGUUGUUACAAUUUGAAUAUGAAAACUGUCCUUUUGAAUCUUGAACUCUUCAUAAAAAUUUUAGGCCUACGUCUUAGCUUUCUAUC